CUCGGCCAUGGGCAGCAUUUGGCCAUUGGAACCGCCCACUUCCUGUUUUCACACCUCCGGCUAGCCUCACAGCUCCGGAUGAGACCUGCAGGCACAGAUUGAGCAAAAUACAGCCUCUGCAAUUGAGCGCGCCUCCCAGGUGACGAACAGUCUGUCUGCGCCGGGGACUUUCUGACGCUCCCACCUGCUGAACAGCUGCUGCUUUUUAUAUAUUGAAUUUUAGAAUUAUUUUAAGGAACUGUCACCGCUCGUGAUCAGAAUCCCUGUAGACUCCUGACCAGGGUUCUGCCGGGCCCGGGUGCUCCUCAGCUGCCUUUGAGCCUGAGCAACGGAGGACUAACGGGGCGUCACGCCUGAAUCCUCCACCAACGAGAAUAAAAGCUCGGCCGCGCUCCGUUCAUUGAGCAGCACCCUACGGGCGGACUUACUCUCACGAGAGUUUCUUUUAUUUUGUUUUUAGCAUUUUUACACAAUUCUUUUAGACCUGUGUUUUAACUGGAUUUUAUUGUGUGAUCCACCUUUGUUUCCCCCCUCCCUCAGUGCUGAGGACUCAGGUGCCAGCCCAGAAUUCUAGGUGGAGGCUAUCCCCCCAGUUUGGAGUGACGUGUCCUUGGGUGAAGGGUUCACAGUGUGUGUGGUCUGCAUCACAAGCAGCAGCUGGUUCCGCUUGGAAGUGAGGAAGGUGAUUUGUGCAAGUGCUGAGGACUCAGGUGCCAGCCCAGAAUUCUAGGUGGAGGCUAUCCCCCCAGUUUGGAGUGACGUGUCCUUGGGUGAAGGGUUCACAGUGUGUGUGGUCUGCAUCACGUGAGUGGGGUGAAAUUUUAUCUUUGUUCUCUGGGAGCCUCCACCUCCCUUAAGUCUUCUGGUCCUCAGCAUACUGAAUUUGUUGUGUAUGUCUUUUAACGGGUCCAUUUUUAAUUGGUUUUAAUGUUUCGUAAUAAAAUCAUUUUAAUUUUUGUACCUCCGUCUCCUGCCUUCUUUUGUGUGCAUCUGCCAAAAGAAAAAUAAACUCCCUCGGGACCACAAUAGCACAAGGAUUAAAGAGGCUGAUAAAGAACCAGACUGGUGUUUCUGUCUUGUCUUCUUGUGAUUCAUGUUUUUUAGUAAAGAUUAAAACUGUUUCUGUUCUUUUUAGUUCUCAGUUUUCUGUCCCAGUCUUUACUGUGAAGAACAAAGUGGACGUGAACAUCGGUCAGAAGUGUGGACGAUGAGACACAGUGACUCAUUGCAAUGUGAUUGGAUGAAUGCAGGCACAUUAAAAGAACUUUAACUGUGA